rnacentral:rRNA from 1 species
AGCAGCCGCGGUAAUUCCAGCUCCAAUAGCGUAUAUUAAAGUUGUUGCAGUUAAAAAGCUCGUAGUUGAAUUUCGGGGUUAGUAGGUUGGUCAUGCCUCUGGUAUGUACUGGUCUCACUGAUUCCUCCUUCCUGAUGAGCCGUAAUGCCAUUAAUUUGGUGUUGCGGGGAAUUUGGACUGUUACUUUGAAAAAAUUUAGAGUGUUUAAAGCAAGCUAACGCUUGAAUACAUUAGCAUGGAAUAAUGAAAUAGGACGUUUGAUUCUAUUUUGUUGGUUUCUAGGAUCGACGUAAUGAUUAAUAGGGAUAGUUGGGGGCAUUAGUAUUCAAUUGUCAGAGGUGAAAUUCUUGGAUUUAUUGAAGACUAACUACUGCGAAAGCAUUUGCCAAGGAUGUUUUCAUUAAUCAAGAACGAAAGUUAGGGGGAUCAAGACGAUCAGAUACCGUCGUAGUCUUAACCAUAAACUAUGCCGACUAGGGAUCGGAUGAUGUUAAUUUUUUAAUGACUCAUUCGGCGCCUU